AUUACGCUUGCAAAAGUGAAACUCAAAGGAAUUGACGGGGACCCGCACAAGCGGUGGAGUGUGUGGUUUAAUUCGAUGCAAUACGAAGAACCUUACCAGGGUUUGAAAUCAUUUCAAAACUCCUUGAAAGAGGAGCCUCCUUCGGGAUGAAAUGACAGGUGGUGCAUGGCUGUCGUCAGCUCGUGUUGUGAAAUGUCGAGUUAAGUCUCGUAACGAGCGCAACCCAUGUCUCUUGUUGCUCACUGAGUGCUUAAGAGAGACUGCCGACCAACAUCGGAGGAAGGUGUGGAUGAUGUCAAGUCAGCAUGCCCCUUACAUCCUGGGCUACACACGUACUACAAUGGUAAGGACAAUGAGCUGCGAUCCUGCGAAGGCUAGCCAAUCUCAAAAACCUUAUCUCAGUUCGGAUUGCACUCUGCAACUCGAGUGCAUGAAGGUGGAAUCGCUAGUAAUCGCUGGUCAGCUAUACAGCGGUGAAUACGUUCCCGGGUCUUGUACACACUGCCCGUCACACCAUGGAAGUCGACUCUUCCCUAAGUCGUUACUCGAACCCAUUGGGACGAGGAUGCCGAAGGCAGGGUUGGUGACUGGGGUGAAGUCGUAACAAGGUAACC
rnacentral:rRNA from 1 species